rnacentral:tRNA from 1 species
GCAUUGGUGGUUCAGUCAGAGAAUUCUCGCCUUCCACGUGGUGACCCAGGUUUGAUUCCCAGCCAAUGCG